UAGUGCAGUGGAUUUAAGCUCCACAAAUAAAGUUUCACACUUUUUUUAGAAAUAUC
rnacentral:tRNA from 1 species